rnacentral:misc_RNA from 1 species
GUGAGUCAUCGAAUCUUUGAACGCAUAUUGCGCCCCUUGGUAUUCCUUGGGGCACACCUGUUCGAGCGUCAUUUCACCAAUCAAGCCUCGCUUGGUAUUGGGCGAUGCGCAUGCCGCACGCCCCAAAUGCACCGGCCGAGCGUGCUCUCCCCCGGCGUCGUGGAGACAUAUCGCCACGGGGAUGGGACCGCUCUCGCGCCGCAAAAACCUCUCAUAAAGGUUGACCUCGGAUCAGGUGGGGAUACCCGCUGAACUUAAGCAUAUCAAUAAGCGGAGGA